rnacentral:rRNA from 1 species
AAUCGAACUCGGAUAUAGCUGGUUCUCCCCGAAAUAGGUUUAGGCCUAGCCUUGAUGUGAGUUGCUUGGAGGUAGAGCACUGAAUGUGUAAUGGCCCCACCUAGGGGUACUGCAUGCAAUCAAACUCCGAAUGCCAAGUGGAUACCAUCAGGAGUCAGUGUAUGGGUGAUAACGUCCAUACGCGAAAGGAAAAGAAUCCAGAUCGCCAGCUAAGGUCCCAAAAUUUGUGUUAAGUGGGAAAGGAUGUAGAGUUGUCAAAACAGCUAGGAGGUUGGCUUAGAAGCAGCCACCCUUUAAAGAGUGCGUAAUAGCUCACUAGUCGAGUGAUCCUGCGCCGAAAAUGUACCGGGGCUAAACGUAUUACCGAAACUGUGGAUUUAUACUUGUAUAAAUGGUAGGGGAGCGUUCUAAGGGCGCUGAAGGUAGAUCGUGAGGACUACUGGAGCGCUUAGAAGUGAGAAUGCCGGUGUGAGUAACGUAAGGAAGGUGAGAAUCCUUCCCACCGAUUGACCAAGGUUUCCAGGGUAAAGUUCGUCUUCCCUGGGUUAGUCAGGACCUAAGGCGAGGCUGAAAAGCGUAGUCGAUGGACAACAGGUUUAUAUUCCUGUACCACCUAUAUGACUGAUGGAGUGACGAAGGAGGCUAACAGUAGCUGGUUAUUGGAUUCCAGUCUAAGCGCAAAGGUUAGUAUGUAGGCAAAUCCGCAAUACUAUAAAGACUGAAGCGUGAUGGCGAAGCGGCGUCUACGGACAAAGCGAAGUAUUGUGACGCCAAACUUCCAAGAAAAACUUCUAGGGCUAAUUGUAUAGGUGCCUGUACCGGAAACCGACACAGGUGGUCAAGGAGAGUAUCCUAAGGUGAGCGAGAGAACUAUGGUUAAGGAACUCGGCAAAAUGACCCCGUAACUUAGGGAGAAGGGGUGGUCUAGAAAUAGACUCGCAGUGAAUAGGCCCAGGCAACUGUUUACCAAAAACACAGGUCUCUGCAAACACGUAAGUGGAAGUAUAGGGGCUGACGCCUGCCCAGUGCUGGAAGGUUAAAGUAAGAGGUAAGUAUGACGCAAGUCGAUAAUACGAAGCUUCGAACUGAAGCCCCAGUGAACGGCGGCCGUAACUAUAACGGUCCUAAGGUAGCGAAAUUCCUUGUCAGGUAAGUUCUGACCCGCACGAAAGGCGUAAUGAUCUGGGUACUGUCUCAACCAUAGACUCGGUGAAAUCUUAAUACCUGUGAAAAUGCAGGUUACCCGCGACAGGACGGAGAGACCCCGUGGAGCUUUACUGUAGCUUGAUAUUGGGAUUAGGUAAAUUAUGUAGAGCAUAGGUGGGAGACUAUGAAGAUAAGGCGCCAGCUUUAUUAGAGUCACCAUUGGAAUACCACCCUUAGUUUACCCGAUUUCUAACCUAGGGCCAUGAUCUGGUUCAGGGACAGUGUCUGGUGGGCAGUUUGACUGGGGCGGUCGCCUCCUAAAAAGUAACGGAGGCGUUCAAAGGUUCCCUCAGAAUGGUUGGAAAUCAUUCAAAGAGCGUAAAGGUAUAUAGGGAGCUUGACUGCGAGACCAACAAGUCGAGCAGGUGCGAAAGCAGGACUUAGUGAUCAGGCGGUAGAGAAUGGAAUUGCCGUCGCUUAACGGAUAAAAGUUACCCCGGGGAUAACAGGCUGAUACCACCCAAUAGUUCACAUAGACGGUGGUGUUUGGCACCUCGAUGUCGGCUCGUCACAUCCUGGAGGUGAAGUCGCUUCCAAGGGUUGGGCUGUUCGCCCAUUAAAGUGGCACGCGAGCUGGGUUCAGAACGUCGUGAGACAGUUCGGUCUCUAUCUGUUGUGGGCGCAGGAAAUUUGCGGAGAUCCGACACUAGUACGAGAGGACCGUGUUGGACAGACCCCUGGUGCAUCGGUUGUUCCGCCAGGAGCACAGCCGAGUAGCUAAGUCUGGAAGGGAUAAGCGCUGAAAGCAUCUAAGUGCGAAGCCCACUCCAAGAUAAGAUUUCCAUAUAGGGACGUCAAAGACGAUGACGUGGAUAGGCCGCAGGUGUACAGGCAGCAAUGUCAUAGCCGAGCGGUACUAAUAGCCCGAAACUUUCGGAA